AGAGAGAGACAUGCGCGCAUAUCAAUAAGCGGAGGAAAAGAAACUAACAAGGAUUCCCUUAGUAACGGCGAGUGAAGCGGGAAGAGCUCAAAUUUGAAAUCUUCAAGGUUCUACCUUGACGAAUUGUAGUUUAUAGAAGUGUUUUCUGUUAGUGGAGUGGCAAAAGUUCUUUGGAAUAGGACAUCAUAGAGGGUGAGAAUCCCGUAUUUGGUCAUUCCUCCUAGCGUUGUGAUACACUUUCAACGAGUCGGAUUGUUUGGGAAUGCAGUCCAAAAUGGGUGGUAAAUUUCAUCUAAAGCUAAAUAUUGGCGAGAGACCGAUAGCGAACAAGUACCGUGAGGGAAAGAUGAAAAGAACUUUGAAAAGAGAGUUAAACAGUACGUGAAAUUGUCAAAAGGGAAGCGUUUGACACCAGUGUUGUUUUUCCGAAAAUCAAUUACGAAUGUUUUAUUUUUGAGGAGUUAUGACUUCAUCGGCUUGCUUCUUUCUUUAUGAAACUUUCUUAAUGCACUUUUCGGUUAACAAGUCAACAUCAAUUUCUUUUGUUGUAAAAGGGUAUGAGGAAGGUGGCUUUCUUUUCGGAGAAAGUGUUUAUAGCCUUGUGCCUCUGCAAUCGGAGAGAUUGAGGUCUGCAGCGUAGAUCCUUCGGGGUUAGAUACAGUUUGUGCUAAGUUAUAGCUUUUCAUAGACAACUUGUUGACUAUGUUUAGUCUUGUAGCUUACUCGCUGAUGCUAUUUUACCUACGCUUAGGAUGUUGAUAGUCACAGCGUGUAC
rnacentral:rRNA from 1 species